rnacentral:rRNA from 1 species
GAUGAACGCUAGCGGCAGGCUUAAUACAUGCAAGUCGAGGGGCAGCAGCUUUAUAGCAAUAUAGAGGCUGGCGACCGGCAAACGGGUGCGGAACACGUACACAACCUUCCUUGAAUAGGGGGAUAGCCCAUAGAAAUGUGGAUUAAUACCCCGUAAUAUAGCGGUGUGGCAUCACACUGUUAUUAUAGUUUCGGCGAUUCGAGAUGGGUGUGCGGCUGAUUAGGUAGUUGGCGGGGUAAAGGCCCACCAAGCCUUCGAUCAGUAGCUGAUGUGAGAGCAUGAUCAGCCACACGGGCACUGAGACACGGGCCCGACUCCUACGGGGGGCAGCAGUAAGGAAUAUUGGUCAAUGGACGCAAGUCUGAACCAGCCAUGCCGCGUGAAGGAUGAAGGUCCUCUGGAUUGUAAACUUCUUUUAUAGGGGGCGAAAAAAGGUCUUUCUAGAUCACUUGACAGUACCCUAUGAAUAAGCACCGGCUAACUCCGUGCCAGCCGCCGCGGUAACAC